rnacentral:tRNA from 2 species
UCGCGAGUGGUGAAAAGGUAUCACAAGGGUCUUUGGAACCUUUAUUCCAGGUUCGAAUCCUGGCUCGCGAGCCA